rnacentral:rRNA from 1 species
GAGUUUGAUCAUGGCUCAGGAUGAACGCUGGCGGCGUGCUUAACACAUGCAAGUCGAACGGACUCAUAUUGAAACCUAGUGAUGUAUGAGUUAGUGGCGGACGGGUGAGUAACGCGUGGAGAACCUGCCGUAUACUGGGGGAUAACACUUAGAAAUAGGUGCUAAUACCGCAUAAGCGCACAGCUUCGCAUGAAGCAGUGUGAAAAACUCCGGUGGUAUACGAUGGAUCCGCGUCUGAUUAGCUUGUUGGCGGGGUAAAGGCCCACCAAGGCGACGAUCAGUAGCCGGCCUGAGAGGGUGAGCGGCCACAUUGGGACUGAGACACGGCCCAAACUCCUACGGGAGGCAGCAGUGGGGAAUAUUGCACAAUGGGGGAAACCCUGAUGCAGCGACGCCGCGUGAGUGAAGAAGUAUUUCGGUAUGUAAAGCUCUAUCAGCAGGGAAGAAAAUGACGGUACCUGACUAAGAAGCCCCGGCUAACUACGUGCCAGCAGCCGCAGUAAU